UUCAAUACCAUUUGCAAAAAUGGUGUGCACUUUUCUCUUAGUAAGACGUUGUGAUCCAUUAGGAAUCGAAUUUUUCUUUUAGAAAAUUUCAGUAGGCUACCAAUAGGCGGGCAUUGAAGUUCACAUUGACAAAUGGCAGCAUCUUUUGGUGAUGUAUAUUGUCUUGUGAGCAUGCCAUGUUCUGAUGUAGCUGCCUGAUGGUUUUUAAAGGUUGCAUCAUUGAUACUUGUAUCACCCAUCUUGUUAUGGGCUUUUCAGAUGUAUACCCGAUCAACAACGGUUUCAUUUGGGAUACCUUUGGGACCCGUCUUGAAACACGGACCAAGGAGUCUAUCUAGUAUGCGAGUAAAUGGGCUUUUUAUGGAAACCUAUUUGCGUAAAUAACUUGACUGUAAUUUAAUGGGAUUACGUGUUUUGCACCUCCAUCCCGGAGUAUUUUCAUCACAUAUAUGGGCAACUAUAUAUAGAAAAUAUAUCAUGAGCAUACUGGACAUGACCCGAAAGAUGGUGAACUAUGCCUGAUCAGGUUGAAGUCAGGGGAAACCCUGAUGGAGGACCGAAGCAAUUCUGACGUGCAAAUCG
rnacentral:rRNA from 1 species